rnacentral:rRNA from 1 species
UGGGGAAUAUUGCACAAUGGGGGAAACCCGUGAUGCAGCGACGCCGCGUGAGUGAGGAAGUAUUUCGGUAUGUAAAGCUCUAUCAGCAGGGAAGAAAAUGACGGUACCUGACUAAGAAGCCCCGGCUAACUACGUGCC